rnacentral:rRNA from 1 species
AAAGCACUGUUGUAUGGGAAGAAAUGCUAGAAUAGGGAAUGAUUCUAGUUCGACGGUACCAUACCAGAAAGGGACGGCUAAAUACGUGCCAGCAGCCGCGGUAAUACGUAUGUCCCGAGCGUUAUCCGGAUUUAUUGGGCGUAAAGCGAGCGCAGACGGUUGAUUAAGUCUGAUGUGAAAGCCCGGAGCUCAACUCCGGAAUGGCAUUGGAAACUGGUUAACUUGAGUGUUGUAGAGGUAAGUGGAACUCCAUGUGUAGCGGUGGAAUGCGUAGAUAUAUGGAAGAACACCAGUGGCGAAGGCGGCUUACUGGACAACAACUGACGUUGAGGCUCGAAAGUGUGGGUAGCAAACAGGAUAGAUA